CCGCUGCCCGAGUCCCUCUUGAAAUGGGCAGGGCAGGGAGGGCGUGGGUACCAGCGCAGGUGCUGGGGCUCAUUUCUUAGGCCUGUGUCAUGGCUAUGACCCUUGGCCGGCUGGGGUGGGGGCUGUGUCUAUGACGCCACCAAGGCCCUGGGUGUCCCCGGGGUCCCUCGGAAUAGGAGGUGGAAACAGGUCGGACAAGAGCUGGCCGUGGGGGAAGAGCAAUGGUGUGCGGAGGUGGGGAGGCCCUAUCUAGGGACAAGCAGAAAACUUAGGGUGGGCAGAUCCCCCCGACCCCUGUGCAGGGGCUGCCAGAGACCAGAGAGGCUGCUGUGUGACCUGGACCAAGCCCCUUGCCCUCUCAUGCCUCAGUUUCCCCUUCUCUCCACGGAGGGAUUGAGCAGGACAUGGAGGGCCCCUUCCAGUAGCCAUUCUGGGACUCCCUGCACCUGUCCCCAGGGGAGGGUCCUGAGCUGGCCUCCACGUGGCUGCUGUUCCCCAUAGUGGAACCUUGUGUGUGGAGAUGGCUGGAAGGUCCCGCUGGAGCAGGGUUCAGCUAGACCUGGUGCUGCCAGGAUGAAGGUUGGACCCUGGGUUAUCCUGACCCUGUCCAAGCAUGUCCCCCGCUGCCCACCAGGUUUGGACGCCGGGCAGUUUUUGUGGCCUCCCUGGUGCUGACCACAGGCCUGGGGGCCAGUGAGGCCCUGGCUGCCAGCUUCCCUACCCUGCUGGUCCUGCGCCUACUCCACGGGGGCACAUUGGCAGGGGCCCUCCUCGCCCUGUAUCUGGCUCG
rnacentral:sRNA from 1 species